CGCUCGCCGCCGCCACGUCCGCCGCCACAGGCGGCGUACGUGAAGCUCGCGCUGCACGCGCUCAAGCACCCGGCGGCGACCGUCAACGGGCUCCUCGUCGGCCGCCUCCCCGGCCGUCGUCUCGGUCGCCGAUGCCGUGCCGCUCUCCCACCAGCCGCACCACCUCUUGAGCUCGCGCUCACCCUCGUCGAGGACCACUUCCAGGCGCAGGGCCUCGCCGUCGUCGGAUACUACCACGCCAACGCGCGCCGCGACGACGCCGACCUCCCCGCCGUCGCCAAGCGCGUCGGGGACCACAUCUUCCGCUACUUCCCCCGCGCCGCCGUGCUGCUGGUCGAUCUGGACAACGUGAAGCUCGAGGAGGUGGUGAAGGGGAGCAGCCGCGAUGCAGUUGUUCAGCUGUAUCUUCUAUUAAGUUUUUACUGGUAA
rnacentral:rRNA from 1 species